rnacentral:rRNA from 1 species
UACGUAUGGGGCAAGCGUUAUCCGGAUUCACUGGGUGUAAAGGGAGCGUAGACGGAAUAGAAAGCCAGAUGUGAAAAUCCGGGGCUCAACCCCGGACCUGCAUUUGGAACUUCUUAACUAGAGUACUGGAGGGGCAGGCGGAAUUCCUGGUGUAGCGGUGAAAUGCGUAGAUAUCAGGAGGAACACCGGUGGCGAAGGCGGCCUGCUGGACGGAUACUGACGUUGAGGCUCGAAAGCGUGGGGAGCAAAC